rnacentral:rRNA from 1 species
GACGAACGCUGGCGGCGUGCCUAAUACAUGCAAGUAGAACGCUGAAGGAGGAGCUUGCUCUUCUGGAUGAGUUGCGAACGGGUGAGUAACGCGUAGGUAACCUGCCUUGUAGCGGGGGAUAACUAUUGGAAACGAUAGCUAAUACCGCAUAACAGUAGAUGUUGCAUGACAUUUACUUAAAAGGUGCAAUUGCAUCACUACCAGAUGGACCUGCGUUGUAUUAGCUAGUUGGUGGGGUAACGGCGCACCAAGGCGACGAUACAUAGCCGACCGGAGAGGGGGAUCGGCCAGACUGGGACUGAGACACGCCCCAGACUCCUACGGAAGGCAGCAGUAGGGAAUCGUCGGCAAUGGGCGGAAGUCUGACCGAGCAACGCCGCGUGAGUGAAGAAGGUUUUCGGAUCGGAAAGCUCUGUUGUAAGAGAAGAACGAGUGUGAGAGUGGAAAGUUCACACUGUGGCGGUAUCUUACCAGAAAGGAACGGCUAACUACGUG